rnacentral:tRNA from 1 species
UCCCUGGUGCUCUAGUGGUUAAGACUGUGCUUCCAAUGCAGAGGUCACAGGUUCAAUUCCUGAUUGGAGAA